rnacentral:rRNA from 1 species
AUUGAACGCUGGCGGCAUGCUUUACACAUGCAAGUCGAACGGCAGCGGGGGCUUCGGUCCGCCGGCGAGUGGCGAACGGGUGAGUAAUGCAUCGGAACGUGCCCAGUCGUGGGGGAUAACACAUCGAAAGAUGUGCUAAUACCGCAUACGUCCUGAGGGAGAAAGCGGGGGAUCUUCGGACCUCGCGCGAUUGGAGCGGCCGAUGUCGGAUUAGCUAGUUGGUGGGGUAAAGGCCCACCAAGGCGACGAUCCGUAGCGGGUCUGAGAGGAUGAUCCGCCACACUGGGACUGAGACACGGCCCAGACUCCUACGGGAGGCAGCAGUGGGGAAUUUUGGACAAUGGGCGCAAGCCUGAUCCAGCCAUGCCGCGUGAGUGAAGAAGGC